rnacentral:rRNA from 1 species
UGUGUAGGCGGUUCUCUAAGUUUGGUGUGAAAUCUCCCGGCUCAACUGGGAGGGUGCGCCGAAAACUGGAGGGCUAGAGUACUGGAUGGGAGAGUGGAAUUCCUGGUGUAGCGGUGAAAUGCGUAGAUAUCAGGAGGAACACCUGUGGUGUAGACGGCUCUCUGGACAGUAACUGACGCUGAGACACGAAAGCGUGGGUAGCAAACAGGAUUAGAUACCCUGGUAGUCCACGCCCUAAACGAUGCAUAUUUGGUGUGGGUCAUUCAUUUGAUCCGUGCCGGAGCUAACGCGUUAAAUAUGCCGCCGUGGGAGUACGGUCGCAAGGCUGAA